CGUGAGCUCACAGGUUCUAAGGAGGCUUGGAGCCAGAGCUCAGCGUGUGACCAGCCCUUGUGACUCAGAGCCCGUGAGCAGGCCCCGACAGACGGCUGCUUUGAUUCUCCGCACUCCCAUGUUGCAUGUCCUGUUUAUGAACCUCUGCAUCCCUGACUCCGCAAAUGGAUAAAGGAGGGAAAAAUCCAAUAAAGACUAAGAAGGAAAGCAAGUGUUUCUCAGCUUUUCCCCCCCAUAUGCGACUUCAGUGGCUCCUCCGCUCUUCUAACCAUCUCGCCUGCCUGUGAGACCCAGCCGUAAACAGAGACGAGUUAAUCCAGACUCCUCCUCACAUCUGCUCAGCACAGAGACAGGGUCUCACUAUAUUGCCCAGGCUGGAGUGCAGUGGCUAUUCACAGGCCCGAUCCCACUACUGAUCAGCACGGGAGUUUUGACCUGCUCCGUUUCCGACCUGGCCAGUUCACCCCUCCUUAGGCAACCUGGUGGUCCCCCGCUCCCGGAAGGUCACCAUAUUGAUGCCGAACUUCGUGCGGACACCGAUCGGCAUAGCGCACUGCAGCCCAGAACUCCUGGACUCAAGCGAUCCUCCCACCUCAGCCUCCCGAGUAGCUGGGACUACCAGGCGCACGCCAUCACCCCCGGCCACAGUUCACUUUUAAGCAGGGUAUAAUAACAGCAUGUGUACAUAUAUAUGUAUAAUACAUAUAUAUGUAAAUUUGAUAGAUAUGCAAAUGUGGCAAAAAUAAAUAUUAAAAUUAGUGAACCCA